GACGAACGCUGGCGGCGUGCUUAACACAUGCCAGUCGAACGGAAAGGCCCUGCUUGCAGGGUACUCGAGUGGCGAACGGGUGAGUAACACGUGGGUGAUCUGCCCUGCACUUCGGGAUAAGCCUGGGAAACUGGGUCUAAUACCGGAUAGGAGCCAUUUUUAGUGUGAUGGUUGGAAAGUUUUUUCGGUGUAGGAUGAGCUCGCGGCCUAUCAGCUUGUUGGUGGGGUAAUGGCCUACCAAGGCGGCGACGGGUAGCCGGCCUGAGAGGGUGGACGGCCACAUUGGGACUGAGAUACGGCCCAGACUCCUACGGGAGGCAGCAGUGGGGAAUAUUGCACAAUGGGCGCAAGCCUGAUGCAGCGACGCCGCGUGGGGGAUGACGGCCUUCGGGUUGUAAACUCCUUUCGCUAGGGACGAAGCUUUUGUGACGGUACCUAGAUAAGAAGCACCGGCUAACUACGUG
rnacentral:rRNA from 1 species